rnacentral:rRNA from 1 species
GGUUAAGCGACUAAGCGUACACGGUGGAUGCCCUGGCAGUCAGAGGCGAUGAAGGACGUGCUAAUCUGCGAAAAGCGUCGGUAAGGUGAUAUGAACCGUUAUAACCGGCGAUGUCCGAAUGGGGAAACCCAGUGCAAUUCGUUGCACUAUCGUUAACUGAAUACAUAGGUUAACGAGGCGAACCGGGGGAACUGAAACAUCUAAGUACCCCGAGGAAAAGAAAUCAACCGAGAUUCCCCCAGUAGCGGCGAGCGAACGGGGAGCAGCCCAGAGUCUGAAUCAGCUUGUGUGUUAGUGGAACGGUCUGGAAAGUCCGACGGUACAGGGUGAUAGUCCCGUACACCAAAAUGCACAGGCUGUGAACUCGAAGAGUAGGGCGGGACACGUGGUAUCCUGUCUGAAUAUGGGGGGACCAUCCUCCAAGGCUAAAUACUCCUGACUGACCGAUAGUGAACCAGUACCGUGAGGGAAAGGCGAAAAGAACCCCGGCGAGGGGAGUGAAAAAGAACCUGAAACCGUGUACGUACAAGCAGUGGGAGCACCUUCGGGUGUGACUGCGUACCUUUUGUAUAAUGGGUCAGCGACUUAUAUUCUGUAGCAAGGUUAACCGUAUAGGGGAGCCGCAGGGAAACCGAGUCUUAACUGGGCGUUAAGUUGCAGGGUAUAGACCCGAAACCCGGUGAUCUAGCCAUGGGCAGGUUGAAGGUUGGGUAACACUAACUGGAGGACCGAACCGACUAAUGUUGAAAAAUUAGCGGAUGACUUGUGGCUGGGGGUGAAAGGCCAAUCAAACCGGGAGAUAGCUGGUUCUCCCCGAAAGCUAUUUAGGUAGCGCCUCGUGAACUCAUCUUCGGGGGUAGAGCACUGUUUCGGCUAGGGGGUCAUCCCGACUUACCAACCCGAUGCAAACUACGAAUACCGAAGAAUGUUAUCACGGGAGACACACGGCGGGUGCUAACGUCCGUCGUGAAGAGGGAAACAACCCAGACCGCCAGCUAAGGUCCCAAAGUCAUGGUUAAGUGGGAAACGAUGUGGGAAGGCACAGACAGCCAGGAUGUUGGCUUAGAAGCAGCCAUCAUUUAAAGAAAGCGUAAUAGCUCACUGGUCGAGUCGGCCUGCGCGGAAGAUGUAACGGGGCUAAACCAUGCACCGAAGCUGCGGCAGCGACGCUUAUGCGUUGUUGGGUAGGGGAGCGUUCUGUAAGCCUGCGAAGGUGACCUGUGAGGGUUGCUGGAGGUAUCAGAAGUGCGAAUGCUGACAUAAGUAACGAUAAAGCGGGUGAAAAGCCCGCUCGCCGGAAGACCAAGGGUUCCUGUCCAACGUUAAUCGGGGCAGGGUGAGUCGACCCCUAAGGCGAGGCCGAAAGGCGUAGUCGAUGGGAAACAGGUUAAUAUUCCUGUACUUGGUGUUACUGCGAAGGGGGGACGGAGAAGGCUAUGUUAGCCGGGCGACGGUUGUCCCGGUUUAAGCAUGUAGGCUGGUUAUCCAGGCAAAUCCGGAUAAUCAAGGCUGAGGUGUGAUGACGAGG